rnacentral:rRNA from 1 species
GACUCUCGGCAACGGAUAUCUCGCCUCUCGCAUCGAUGAAGAACGUAGCGAAAUGCGAUACCUGGUGUGAAUUGCAGAAUCCCGCGAACCAUCGAGUCUUUGAACGCAAGUUGCGCCCGAGGCCACUCGGCCGAGGGCACGCCUGCCUGGGCGUCA